UACGUAGGGGGCAAGCGUUGUCCGGAAUUAUUGGGCGUAAAGCGCGCGCAGGCGGUCAUGUAAGUCUGAUGUGAAAAUCCAAGGCUCAACCUUGGGACUGCAUUGGAAACUGCAUGACUUGAGGGCAGAAGAGGGGAGUGGAAUUCCUAGUGUAGCGGUGAAAUGCGUAGAUAUUAGGAGGAACACCAGUGGCGAAGGCGACUCUCUGGUCUGUUACUGACGCUGAGGCGCGAAAGCGUGGGGAG
rnacentral:rRNA from 1 species